GUGCUCACUUUGGUAGCCCAUGUACUAAAAUUGGAACCAUGCAGAGAGGAUUAGCAUGCCUCUGCGCAAGGAUGACACGCAAACUCAUGAAGCAGUCCAUAUUUUU
ensembl:snRNA U6 U6 spliceosomal RNA